rnacentral:rRNA from 1 species
UACGAAGGGGGCUAGCGUUGCUCGGAAUCACUGGGCGUAAAGCGCACGUAGGCGGAUUGCUAAGUCAGGGGUGAAAUCCUGGAGCUCAACUCCAGAACUGCCUUUGAUACUGGCGACCUUGAGUCCGGGAGAGGUGAGUGGAACUGCGAGUGUAGAGGUGAAAUUCGUAGAUAUUCGGAAGAACACCAGUGGCGAAGGCGGCUCACUGGACUGGUAUUGACGCUGAGGUGCGAAAGCGUGGGGAGCAAACAGG